rnacentral:lncRNA from 1 species
AGAGUGUCUUUUCAUCUCAAAGAGAACAGAACACUGGAGUGCAGUCUCCAAGCCUGCAAGCAUGUCUGUAUUCUGUGACCUAUGUGGAAGUUGUCCUCAGCAAUGGCCCUGCUGUCUGUUUUCAGAGAGUAACCUUCUCUCUUGUCCUUGUAAUGUUUCGCCAGCAAAACACACUCGGACAACCAGAUCCUCCUACGGCAAAGCUUUAUUGCUUACUUAUCAGGAAGACCUCGAAUACAGGAAACUCAGUAUUUAUAACCCACAAAGAGCGGUUGGAGACCUGUCAGCUCCUGAUGAGCUGCUCACUAUCAGCCCAGAUGACUGCCCUGGGACAGGCAGGGCACAAGGCAUGGAAAAAUACCCCAGCAUAUGCGCAGACUACUUGUUUACUAGUUAGAACACCGGAUAUCAGCGCCAUCUUGUAAUGGCGAUUGCAAGAGCGGCUCCUCACACUUCUCUCCUAGCAUCAAUCUGCAUUGUAUAAGGAUCCCCAUGGGAUCUUUUUGGCCAACAAUUCAACUGAGUAUAGCCCAGUCCCUUCCUACUGAAGCCCUGCCUGGUCAUGAUAGAUGGCCAGUUCAGUCUCUAUAUUCUCUGUUACUAGGAGUCCUCACUAAGGAUGCAGUGACUUAUGAUGAUGUGCGUGUGAACUUCACUGAGGAAGAGUGGGAUUUGCUGGAUCCUUCCCAGAAAAGUCUCUAUGAAGAGGUGAUGCUGGAGACCUACCAGAACAUCACUGCUAUAGGCUACAAUUGGGAAGACCAUCAUAUUGAAGAACAUUGUCAAAGUUCUAGAAGACAUGAAAGGAAUGAAAGAAGUCGUAUUGGAGAGAAACCCUAUGAAUGUUAUCAAUGUGGUAAAGCCUUUGCACGUCACAAUCAUCUCCAAAUACAUAAAAGAAUACAUACUGGAGAGAAACCUUAUGAAUGUAAUCAAUGUGGUAAAGCCUUUGCAUGUCACAGUCGUCUCCAAAGACAUAAAAGAACACAUACUGGAGAGAAACCUUAUGAAUGUAAUCAAUGUGGCAAAGCUUUUGCACGUCACAGUCAUCUCCAAAGACACGAAAAAACACAUAAUGCAGAGAAAUCAUAUGAAUGUAAUCAAUGUGGUAAAGCCUUUUCACAACAGAAUAAUCUCCAAUAUCAUAAAAGAACGCAUACUGGAGAGAAACCUUAUCAGUGUAAUCAAUGUGGUAAAGCUUUUGCAUUUCACAAUAGUCUCCAGUAUCAUAAAAGAACACAUACUGGAGAGAAACCUUAUGAAUGUAAUCAAUGUGGUAAAGCUUUUGCAUUUCAGUAUAGUCUCCAAAAACAUACAAGAAUACAUACUGGAGAGAAACCUUAUCAAUGUGAUCAAUGUGGUAAAGCGUUUUCACAUGUGAUUCGUCUUCAAUAUCAUAAAAGAACACAUACUGGAGAGAAACCUUAUGAGUGUAAUCAAUGCGGUAAAGCCUUUGCAUUUCACAAUAGUCUCCAAAAACAUAAAAGAACACAUACUGGAGAGAAACCGUAUCAAUGUAAUCAAUGUGGUAAAGCAUUUUCACAACAGAGUAGUCUCCAAUAUCAUAAAAGAA